UAUCUAUAUAGUAUAAAUAUUAUAAUUGAUUUCCAAUCAAAAGAUCUAUUAUUAGUAUAGAU
rnacentral:tRNA from 1 species